GGAAUAUUGGGCAAUGGAAGAGAUUCUGACCCAGCCAUGCCGCGUGCAGGAUGAAGGCUUUCUGAGUCGUAAACUGCUUUUGCCAGGGAAGAAUAAGGUUCGUGCGCGGACCGACGACGGUACCUGGUGAAUAAGCACCGGCUAACUCCGUGCCAGCAGCCGCGGUAAUACGGAGGGUGCAAGCGUUGUCCGGAUUUAUUGGGUUUAAAGGGUGCGUAGGCGGUCCAUUAAGUCUGGGGUGAAAGCCCGUUGCUCAACAACGGAACUGCCCUGGAAACUGGCGGACUUGAGUACAGACGAGGGUGGCGGAAUGGAUGCUGUAGCGGUGAAAUGCAUAGAUAGCAUCCAGAACCCCGAUUGCGAAGGCAGCUGCCUAGACUGUAACUGACGCUGAGGCACGAAAGCGUGGGGAGCGAACA
rnacentral:rRNA from 1 species